rnacentral:rRNA from 1 species
GACGAACCGUGCGAACGUUGUUCGGAAUCACUGGGCUUAAAGGGCGCGUAGGCGGGUUCGCAAGUCAGGGGUGAAAUUCCCGGGCUCAACCUGGGGGCUGCGCUUGAUACUGAUUGGCUUGAAUGCGGGAGAGGAUAGUGGAAUUCCCAGUGUAGAGGUGAAAUUCGUAGAUAUUGGGAAGAACACCGGUGGCGAAGGCGGCUAUCUGGCCCGUAAUUGACGCUGAGGUGCGAAAGCGUGGGGGAGCAAACAGG